AGUGUGCCCUUUCCUUCUUGACUUUUUAGCAGUUCUGAGUAAAUAUUGAUUUGCCCCCCCGUUUACCUUCUCUCUGGCCAUUUUGCAGACUAAGGAACCGGGCUCUUAGGGAUUUGAUUUUUGUGUUACUUUCCGGCCCUUUUGCUGCCCUCCCCUCCUCCCUCCAAGUGGCAUUGUAAAACUCACAGUGACAAAGAGACAGAGUAGGGUUUGAGGCCCCAGUUCCUGGGGAUUCAAGGCAGUUUUACAUACGGGUCAGACACGGCUGGAGGCCAAGGUCAAGUUGAAAGUUGCAGUCUAGCCAGUUGUGAGAACAGCCAGGCAAGCCUGGAGACCCAGGCAGCUGGAAAGGCCCACACUGCCCACCUCCUCUCA
rfam:Otolemur garnettii contig057534, whole genome shotgun sequence.